AUUUAUCUUUUCACUCUCCUGAAUCUUCUUCCUCUCACUCUUCCUUCUCUGUAACCUCACACUCACACAUGCACCUCCGUCCCUCUCUUCAUCCCUCACCUCCUUUAACCCUCACCAUUGCCUCACCUCAGAAACUCUCACCUGCAACACUCACUCUCUCUCAAGCUUCAUUCUCUGCUCACAGAAGCACACACAACAAUAAACAAGAACCACAAAGAAGAAGUGUAAGAAGAGAGAAGAAUAAGUAG